rnacentral:lncRNA from 1 species
CUUUGGCAAUCUCUUCACAAAACAUUUAAUCAGGAAUAGACACUAAUUUUUCCAAAGAGAUGUACUUAGGUUUUGCUGGAUCAUACUGUUCUUUUCUGAAAUAGGUAAGAAACAAAUGUUUUUCUUUGACUCUAAACAACUUUGUGUUAAAUAACUGUGGGAACCUUACAAUGAUGUGGUGGGGAAUACUCAUCACGUUGUACACAUAGUGAAAAGUCUCAGUAAGUUUCUUUUUAUUUGCAGUUAACAUCUUUGGGAUUCUGGUGAUCACAUGUUGUAUUUCGCUAUGCUUAAAACCAAGUUGAAGAUGAUAAACCUUCAUAUUUUCUUUCAUGGGCUCUAGACUUCCAGUAUCAGCCUUGAGAGAUGAGCUACCAGAUCUCUAGUCUUCUUCAAAGAAAAUUGGCAUUAAAUGACUCCUCAAGGUCUUUGAAUGAUGAGUGAGAACCUGGACAACAGACAUGGCUGGGAAUACUCAAGAUGAUGCUAUGGUCAGUGGUUCCUUCUGCACACGGGACUGGAGCCAGGACCUGGGGACAGCAAAGGGGGCAAAGAGAAGCUGGGAAGCAGGUAUUGGUGACCAUGUGACGAGGCCUGACUAAUCAGAAUUGUUCAUCUCCUGGCCUCGGAGGGCGUGGGACGCAACCUACACCAAUCACAGUCCUUCCCUGAGACUGAUUUCUUGAUGCGAGGGUUAGCAGCACUUUUGGCUGGGGGUUGCUAAACUUAGACUACAGUGGUCUCCGAGACAACUGCCUUGCAAUCCAACAUCCCCCCCUGCCCCACCUUUCUUUCCUUUACUCACUCACAUGUAUUGUUCUUCAGAGCUUUCAUGAAUAAACUGCCUGGUCACCAGUCUCUGUCCCAGAGUUCUUUCCCAGGGAAUACAACCAGGGUGUGAUGGUGAUGGCCAGGACAGUGGUGGGGGUGGUGCCGAUGUCUGCCUUCACAGAGAUUUGUCCUUUGACUACACAGGACAAUUAAAAACAAAAACAAAGCAAAACAAAAAAGCAAAGAAAGAAAAAAAAAACCCUAAGUAUUCAGGAAGGCCUGAGUUCAUCUUUUCCAAGGACCACUCAAACC